UACGUAGGGAGCAAGCGUUGUCCGGAAUUACUGGGUGUAAAGGGAGCGUAGGCGGGGAUGCAAGUUGGGUGUCAAAACUACCGGCUCAACCGAUAGUCGCACUCAAAACUGCAGCUCUUGAGUGAAGUAGAGGCAGGCGGAAUGCGUGGUGUAGCGGUGAAAUGCAUAGAUAUCACGCAGAACCCCGAUUGCGAAGGCAGCAUACCGGUGCACAACUGACGCUCAGGCACGAAAGCGUGGGUAUCGAACAGG
rnacentral:rRNA from 1 species